rnacentral:sRNA from 1 species
AUGGAGAUCCAAUUCAAUUAUGAAUCUCAGGAACACCACCUUCUGUCAGAUGGUGAGAACAAGACCAAGAUUGGAAAGCCAGCUUCAGAGGAGGGAAUUACAGCAAAAAUUGAACCAUUGACAGAAGAGUCUAGCAGUCUCAGAGAGAAUGUUCUCCAGGAUUCUGAAGGCAGAGAAUUCUGUGAAUUUGGGGAUAAAUUAAAUGAAAAAGAUCAGAACGUCUUUAAAAGGAGACCUCAUAACUGUGAUGAAUAUGGGCAAAGCUUUGUUUGGAAUACAGGCCUUUUUAGGCAUCGAAAAACCCACUGUGAGAAACCUUAUGAAUGUGAUAAGUGUGGAAAGGCCUUUAGUGUGAGCUCAGCCCUGGUUCUGCAUCAGAGAAUUCACACUGGGGAGAAACCUUAUUCCUGUAAUUGGUGUAUUAAAAGUUUCAGUCGGAGCUCAGACCUUAUUAAACACCAAAGAGUCCACACUGGUGAAAAACCUUAUAAAUGUGAUGAGUGUGGGAAAGCCUUCAGUCAGAGCUCAGAUCUUAUUAUACAUCAGAGAAUCCAUACAGGAGAAAAACCCUAUCAAUGCAGUCAUUGUAGUAAAAGUUUUAGCCAGCGCUCAGAUCUGGUUAAACAUCAGAGAAUCCAUACUGGAGAGAAGCCUUAUACUUGUAACCAGUGUAACAAACAUUUUAGUCAGAGUUCUGAUGUGAUAAAACAUCAAAGAAUCCACACUGGGGAGAAACCAUAUAAAUGUGAUGUGUGUGCGAAAGCCUUCAGUCAGAGCUCAGAUCUUAUUCUGCAUCAGAGAAUUCACAGUGGGGAGAAACCAUAUCCAUGUAAUCAGUGUAGCAAAAGUUUCAGUCAGAAUUCAGACCUUAUUAAACAUCGAAGGAUCCACACUGGAGAGAAACCCUAUAAAUGUAAUGAAUGUGGGAAAGCUUUUAAUCAGAGCUCAGUCCUUAUUUUACAUCAGAGGAUUCAUACUGGAGAGAAACCCUAUCCCUGUGAUCAAUGUAGCAAAACCUUCAGUAGGCUUUCAGAUCUUAUUAAUCAUCAACGAAUUCACACUGGAGAGAAGCCUUACCCAUGUAAUCAGUGCAAUAAAAUGUUUAGUCGAAGAUCAGAUCUUGUUAAACAUCACAGAAUUCAUACAGGUGAGAAACCCUAUGAAUGUGAUGAAUGUGGGAAAACCUUUAGUCAGAGCUCCAACCUUAUUCUUCAUCAGAGAAUCCACACUGGAGAGAAACCUUAUCCAUGUAGUGAUUGUACUAAAAGCUUUAGUCGCCGUUCAGAUCUUGUUAAGCAUCAAAGAAUACACACUGGAGAGAAACCAUAUGCAUGUAAUCAGUGUGAUAAAAGUUUUAGUCAAAGCUCAGACCUCACUAAACAUCAGAGAGUACACUCUGGUGAAAAGCCUUAUCAUUGCAAUAGUUGUGAGAAAGCCUUCAGUCAGAGUUCUGACCUUAUUCUUCAUCAGAGAAUUCACACUGGAGAAAAACCAUAUCUAUGCACACAGUGCAGCAAAAGUUUCAGUCAGAACUCAGACCUCAUUAAACACCAGAGAAUCCACACUGGGGAAAAACCAUAUAAAUGUAGUGAGUGCAGGAAGGCUUUCAGUCAGUGCUCAGCUCUUACCCUACACCAGAGAAUCCACACUGGGGAGAAACCAAAUCCAUGUGAUGAGUGUGGCAAAAGCUUUAGUCGGCAUUCUGAUCUCAUUAACCAUCAAAAAAUACACACUGGUGAAAAGCCGUAUAAGUGUGAUGCAUGUGGGAAAGCCUUUAGCACAUGCACAGAUCUUAUUGAACACCAGAAAAUCCAUGCUGGGGAGAAACCCUACCGUUGUGUUCAAUGCAGCAGAAGUUUUAGCCAACUCUCAGAACUUACUAUUCAUGAGGAAGUCCAUUGUGGAGAAGACAGUCAAAAUGUGAUGAAUGUGAGAAAACCUUUAGUGUAUACAUCAACUCUAUUCAGUACCAGAGACACUGUACCAGGAAAAAAUCUAAUGAAUGCUGUUGAUUAUUGA